AAAAGAAACCAACAGGGAUUGCCCCAGUAACGGCGAGUGAAGCGGCAACAGCUCAAAUUUGAAAUCUGGCCCCAGGCCCGAGUUGUAAUUUGCAGAGGAUGCUUCUGGCGAGGGCGCCGGCCGAGUGCCCUGGAACGGGCCGCCGUAGAGGGUGAGAGCCCCGUACGGCCGGACGCCGAAGCCUCUGUGAGCUCCUUCGACGAGUCGAGUAGUUUGGGAAUGCUGCUCUAAACGGGAGGUAUACCCCUUCUAAAGCUAAAUACCGGCCAGAGACCGAUAGCGCACAAGUAGAGUGAUCGAAAGAUGAAAAGCACUUUGGAAAGAGAGUUAAAUAGCACGUGAAAUUGUUGAAAGGGAAGCGCUCGUGACCAGACUUGCGCCCGGUAACUCAGCCCGGCGUUCUCGCCGGGCGCAUUUUGCCGGCUCAGGCCAGCAUCAGUCUGCCGUCGGGGAGAAGGGCGCUGGGAAUGUGGCUCUUCGGAGUGUUAUAGCCCGGCGCUAUGCCCCUCGGCGGACUGAGGUUCGCGCUCCGCAAGGAUGCUGGCGUAAUGGUCAUCAGCGACCCGUCUUGAAACACNGAACCAAGGAGUCGUCCUAGUGUGCGAGUGUUCGGGUGUCAAACCCCUACGCGCAAUGAAAGUGAACGCAGGUGAGAGCCUCGGCGCAUCAUCGACCGAUCCUGAUGUUCUCGGAUGGAUUUGAGUAGGAGCACACUGGGCCGGACCCGAAAGAAGGUGAACUAUGCCUGUAUAGGGUGAAGCCAGAGGAAACUCUGGUGGAGGCUCGCAGCGGUUCUGACGUGCAAAUCGAUCGUCAAAUAUGGGCAUGGGGGCGAAAGACUAAUCGAACCUUCUAGUAGCUUGGUUCCGCCGAAGUUUCCCUCAGGAUAGCAGUGUUGAGCUCAAGUUUAUGAGGUAAAGCGAAUGAUUAGGGCUCGGGGGGCUAUUAAGCCUUCAUCCAU
rnacentral:rRNA from 1 species